AUUGAACGCUGGCGGCAUGCCUAACCCAUGCAAGUCGAACGAGUGGCGGACGGGUGAGUAAUGUCUGGGUAACUUCCUGCUGGAGGGGGAUCACUACUGGAAACCGUAGCUAAUACCGCAUACCAUCAGAUGUGCCCAGAUGGGAUUAGCUAGUUGGUGGGGUAACGGCUCACCAAGGCGACGAUCCCUAGCUGGUCUGAGAGGAGGACCAGCAACACUGGAACUGAGACACGGGCCAGAAGGAUAGGGGAGGCAGAAGUGGGGAAAAGGGCACAAUGGGGGAAAGGCAGAUGAAGCAAUGCAGCGAGUAUGAAGAAGGCCUGGGGGUUGAAAAGUACUUUAAGCGGGGAGGCGUUACAAGAAGAAGAAGCAACGGCUAACUCCGUGCCAGAAGCCGCGGUAAUAC
rnacentral:rRNA from 1 species